rnacentral:rRNA from 1 species
AUACAGAGGGUGCAAGCGUUAAUCGGAGUUACUGGGCGUAAAGGGCGCGUAGGCGGAUAUUUAAGUCUGCCGUGAAAUCCCCGGGCUCAACCUGGGAAUGGCGGUGGAUACUGGAUAGCUAGAGUGUGUCAGAGGAUGGUGGAAUUCCCGGUGUAGCGGUGAAAUGCGUAGAGAUCGGGAGGAACACCAGUGGCGAAGGCGACUAUCUGGAUAGAUACUGACACUGAGACACGAAAGCGUGGGGAGC